GAAUACCUGAAAUGGCAUUAGAAAAGGAAGCAUCAAAUAUCUUUACACACUGAGGAGUUCCAGAGGCAAAGGAGACCUUAGAGAUCAGAGCAGAAUGUUCUUGAGCUGAAAGCUCAGACUUUGGGAGUAAAUGGUCUAUCACAAGCUCCAUGACCUUGGGUUCCAGUUUCUUCCUGAGAAAAUGAAAAUAAGAAUGUCCACCAUAUUUGAUCAUAGUGAAGAACAAAUAGGGGCAGUGAAAGAAAUGUCCUUACUUCCGCCCAAGGCCAGCCAUUCACCUGUACCAUGAGUCACCUGCACCUCGUCACCUACAGGAUCUCAACUGAUUCAUCUCCUAUUCAACAGCUCUAUUUGAAUCACCAACAGGCAGCUCAAAGAUAACAAGG